AACGAACGCUGGUGGCGUGCUUAAUACAUGCAAGUCGAACGAGAAAGUCUUUCGGGAUGAGUAAAGUAGGCGCACGGGUGAGUAACACGUAGGUGACCUACCUCGUAGUUGGGGAUAACAGCGGGAAACCGCUGCUAAUACCGGAUAUGUUGUGUGACCUUAGAAAAGCGCAACAAAGAUUGCCUCUAUUUAUAAGCAAUUGCUAUGAGAUGGGCCUGCGCGGCAUUAGCUAGUUGGUGAGGUAAUGGCUCACCAAGGCAACGAUGCCUAGCUGGUCUGAGAGGAUGAUCAGCCACACUGGGACUGAGAUACGGCCCAGACUCCUACGGGAGGCAGCAGUCGAGAGGCUUCGGCAAUGGGGGAAACCCUGACCGAGCGACGCCGCGUGAGGGAUGAAGGCCCUUGGGUUGUAAACCUCUUUUGUUCGGGAAGAAGUGCGAUCAGGUGAAUAAUCUGGUCGUUUGACGGUACCGGACGAAUAAGCUCCGGCUAACUCCGU
rnacentral:rRNA from 1 species